UGGGGAAUUUUGGACAAUGGGCGAAAGCCUGAUCCAGCCAUGCCGCGUGAGUGAAGAAGGCCUUCGGGUUGUAAAGCUCUUUUAGUCGGAAAGAAAGAGUUGCUAUGAAUAAUUGUGAUUUAUGACGAUACCGACAGAAAAAGCACCGGCUAACUACGUGCCAGCAGCCGCGGUAAUACGUAGGGUGCGAGCGUUAAUCGGAAUUACUGGGCGUAAAGGGUGCGCAGGCGGUCUUGCAAGUCAGAUGUGAAAGCCCCGGGCUUAACCUGGGAAUUGCGUUUGAAACUACAAGGAUAGAGUGCAGCAGAGGGGUGUUGAAUUCCAGUUGUAGCAGUGAAAUGCGUAGAGAUGUGGAAGAACACCGAUGGCGAAGGCAGCUCCCUGGGUUGACACUGACGCUCAUGCACGAAAGCGUGGGGAGCAAACA
rnacentral:rRNA from 1 species